rnacentral:rRNA from 1 species
UACGUAGGGUGCAAGCGUUAAUCGGAAUUACUGGGCGUAAAGCGUGCGCAGGCGGUUUCGUAAGUCUGUCGUGAAAUCCCCGGGCUUAACCUGGGAAUGGCGAUGGAGACUGCGAGGCUAGAGUUUGGCAGAGGGGGGUAGAAUUCCACGUGUAGCAGUGAAAUGCGUAGAGAUGUGGAGGAACACCGAUGGCGAGGGCAGCCCCCUGGGUCAAAACUGACGCUCAUGCACGAAAGCGUGGGGAGCAAACAGG